GUUUUUGUAGUUGAAUACAACAGUGGUUUUUCAAAUCAUUAGUCUUGGUUGAAGUCCAGGCAAGAAUA
rnacentral:tRNA from 1 species